UGGGGAAUUUUGGACAAUGGGCGAAAGCCUGAUCCAGCAAUGCCGCGUGUGUGAAGAAGGCCUUCGGGUUGUAAAGCACUUUUGUCCGGAAAGAAAUCCUUGGCUCUAAUACAGUCGGGGGAUGACGGUACCGGAAGAAUAAGCACCGGCUAACUACGUGCCAGCAGCCGCGGUAAUACGUAGGGUGCAAGCGUUAAUCGGAAUUACUGGGCGUAAAGCGUGCGCAGGCGGUUUGCUAAGACCGAUGUGAAAUCCCCGGGCUCAACCUGGGAACUGCAUUGGUGACUGGCAGGCUAGAGUAUGGCAGAGGGGGGUAGAAUUCCACGUGUAGCAGUGAAAUGCGUAGAGAUGUGGAGGAAUACCGAUGGCGAAGGCGAGCCCCCUGGGCCAAUACUGACGCUCAUGCACGAAAGCGUGGGGAGCAAACAGGAUUAGAUACCCUGGUAGUCCACGCCCUAAACGAUGUCAACUAGUUGUUGGGGGAUUCAUUUCCUUAGUAACGUAGCUAACGCGUGAAGUUGACCGCCUGGGGAGUACGGUCGCAAGAUUAAAACUCAAAGGAAUUGAC
rnacentral:rRNA from 1 species